UGAGAGUGUGUCCUGUGUGUGUGUAUGUGUCCUGUUUGUGUGUGUGUGUGUGUGUGUGUGUGUGUGUGUGUGUGUGUGUGUGUGUGUGUGUGUGUGUGUGUGUGUGUGUGUGUGUGUGUGUGUCCAGUGUGUGUGUGUGUGUGUGUGUGUGAGUCCAGUGUGUGUGUGUUUGUUUGUCUAGUGUGUGUGUGUGUGUGUGUGUGUUUGUCCAGUGUGUGUGUGUGUGUGUGUGUGUGUGUGUGUGUGUGUGUUUGUCCAUGUGUGUGUGUGUGUGUGUGUGUGUGUUUGUUUUUGUCCAGUGUGUGUGUGUGUGUGUGUGUUUGUCCAGUGUGUGUGUGUGUGUGUGUUUGUCCAUGUGUGUGUGUGUGUGUUUGUCCAGUGUGUGUGUGUUUGUCCAGUGUGUGUGUGUGUGUGUGUUUGUCCAGUGUGUGUGUGUGUGUGUGUUUGUCCAGUGUGUGUGUGUGUGUGUGUGUUUGUCCAGUGUGUGUGUGUGUGUGUGUGUGUUUGUCCAGUGUGUGUGUGUGUGUGUGUGUUUGUCCAGUGUGUGUGUGUGUGUGUGUGUUUGUCCAGUGUGUGUGUGUGUGUGUUUGUCCAGUGUGUGUGUGUGUGUGUGUCCAGUGUGUGUGUGUCCAGUGUGUGUGUGUGUUGUGUGUGUGUGUGUGUCCAGUGUGUGUGUGUGUGUGUCCAGUGUGUGUGUGUGUGUGUCCAGUGUGUGUGUGUGUGUGUCCAGUGUGUGUGUGUGUCCAGUGUGUGUGUGUGAGUCCAGUGUGUGUGUGUGUGUGUUUGUCUAGUGUGUGUGUCCAGUGUGUGUGUGUCUGUGUGUAUCCAGUGUUUGUGUGUGUGUGUGUCCAGUGUGUGUGUUUGUCCACUUUGUUUGUCCAGUGUGUGUGUGUGUGUGUGUCCAGUGUGUGUGUGUGUGUGUGUGUGUGUCCAGUGUGUGUGUGUGUAUGUGUGUGAGUGUGUGUGUGUUUUCGUUUGUCCAG
rnacentral:lncRNA from 1 species